GAUGAACGCUGGCGGCGUGCCUAAUACAUGCAAGUCGAGCGAACGGACGAGAAGCUUGCUUCUCUGAUGUUAGCGGCGGACGGGUGAGUAACACGUGGAUAACCUACCUUUAAGUCUGGGAUAACUUCGGGAAACCGGAGCUAAUACCGGAUGAUAUUUUGAACCGCAUGGUUCAAAAGUGAAAGACGGUCUUGCUGUCACUUAUAGAUGGAUCCCCGCGGCAUUAGCUAGUUGGUAAGGUAACGGCUUACCAAGGCAACGAUGCAUAGCCGACCUGGUAGGGUGAUCGGCCACAUGGGAACGGAGACACGGUCCAGACUCCUACGGGAGGAAGCAGAAGGGAAUCUUCGGCAUGGGGGGAAAGCCGGACGGAGCACCGCGGGGGGAGUGAUGAAGGUCUUCGGAUCGUAAAACUCUGUUAUUGGGGAAGAACAUAUGUGUAAGUAACUGUGCACAUCUUGACGGUACCUAAUCAGAAAGCCACGGCUAACUACGUG
rnacentral:rRNA from 1 species